rnacentral:rRNA from 1 species
GACGAACGCUGGCGGCGUGCUUAACACAUGCAAGUCGAACGGAAAGGCCCUGCUUUUGUGGGGUGCUCGAGUGGCGAACGGGUGAGUAACACGUGAGUAACCUGCCCUUGACUUUGGGAUAACUUCAGGAAACUGGGGCUAAUACCGGAUAGGAGCUCCUGCUGCAUGGUGGGGGUUGGAGAGUUUCGGCGGUUGGGGAUGGACUCGCGGCUUAUCAGCUUGUUGGGGGGGUAGUUGCUUUCCAAGGCUUUGACGGGUAGCCGGCCUGAGAGGGUGACCGGCCACAUUGGGACUGAGAUACGGCCCAGACUCCUACGGGAGGCAGCAGUGGGGAAUAUUGCACAAUGGGCGGAAGCCUGAUGCAGCAACGCCGCGUGCGGGAUGCCGGCCUUCGGGUUGUAAACCGCUUUCGCCUGUGACGAAGCGUGAGUGACGGUAAUGGGUAAAGAAGCACCGGCUAACUACGUG